rnacentral:rRNA from 1 species
AGGAAUAUUGGUCAAUGGGCGCAAGCCUGAACCAGCCAUGCCGCGUGCAGGAAGACGGCUCUAUGAGUUGUAAACUGCUUUUGUACUAGGGUAAUUUGCGGUACGUGUACCGUAUUGAAAGUAUAGUACGAAUAAGGAUCGGCUAACUCAGUGCAAGCAGCCGCGGUAAUACGGAGGAUCCAAGCGUUAUCCGGAUUUAUUGGGUUUAAAGGGUGCGUAGGCUGUGAGGUAAGUCAGCGGUGAAAUGCCCCCGCUCAACGGGGUGAAGUGCCAUUGAUACUGCCUUGCUGGAAUGCGGAUGCCGUGGGAGGAAUGUGUGGUGUAGCGGUGAAAUGCAUAGAUAUCACACAGAACACCGAUUGCGAAGGCAUCUCACGAAUCCGCGAUUGACGCUGAUGCACGAAAGCGUGGGUAUCAAACAGG